rnacentral:rRNA from 1 species
GACGAACGCUGGCGGCGUGCCUAAUACAUGCAAGUCGAGCGGACGAAUCGAAAGCUUGCUUUUGAUUCGUUAGCGGCGGACGGGUGAGUAACACGUGGGCAACCUGCCCUGUAGACGGGGAUAACACCGAGAAAUCGGUGCUAAUACCGGAUAACACGAAAUGUCGCAUGACGUUUCGUUGAAAGACGGCGCAAGCUGUCGCUACAGGAUGGGCCCGCGGCGCAUUAGCUAGUUGGUGAGGUAACGGCUCACCAAGGCGACGAUGCGUAGCCGACCUGAGAGGGUGAUCGGCCACACUGGGACUGUGACACGGCCCAGACUCCUACGGGAGGCAGCAGUAGGGAAUCUUCCGCAAUGGACGAAAGUCUGACGGAGCAACGCCGCGUGAGCGAAGAAGGCCUUCGGGUCGUAAAGCUCUGUUGUUAGGGAAGAACAAGUAACGCAGUAACUGGCGUUACCGUGACGGUACCUAACGAGAAAGCCACGGCUAACUACGUG